GGGUGCUUGAGGCUAUCUGCCUCAGGCAUGAACACCAAAAGGCAGAUAGAGAAAAGCCCCAGUUAACAUUACGCGUCCGGCAAGACGCUUAACAUUAAUCUGAGGCCAAUUUCAUGCUUUGCACAUGUAGGUUAGCCUCUUACGUGCCGAAAGGCAAGGAGAAGCAGGCUAUGAAG
rfam:Salmonella enterica subsp. enterica serovar Enteritidis str. LA5, WGS project CAGR02000000 data, contig: Scaffold49-Contig3